CUAGAUUUUAUAUGGCCCAUUGUAUAAGAUGCAAUUUGGAUUAUUUAUCUGGAACAACUAUAUCAUGGAGGUGUUGUUUAAGGUUCCCUUGCUAAUUUUAUCUUAAGCUGCAGUUCUGCAUCUUUGGGAGGUUAGGAGACCAUCAACCGUAAGGAGGAGGAAUAAAAAGAAGUUCAGAAGCCAAGGACCAUCUUCAACCUGAUUUUAGGCAUCCUCAAGUAAAGUUAUGGAAUUGUUGAUUCAAGCUUUAAAAUCCACUCCCUCUAGUGCUCCUCGCACGCAUGUG